GAUGAACGCUGGCGGCGUGCCUAAUACAUGCAAGUCGAGCGAACAGACGAGGAGCUUGCUCCUCUGACGUUAGCGGCGGACGGGUGAGUAACACGUGGAUAACCUACCUAUAAGACUGGGAUAACUUCGGGAAACCGGAGCUAAUACCGGAUAAUAUAUUGAACCGCAUGGUUCAUUAGUGAAAGACGGUUUUGCUGUCACUUAUAGAUGGAUCCGCGCCGCAUUAGCUAGUUGGUAAGGUAACGGCUUACCAAGGCAACGAUGCGUAGCCGACCUGAGAGGGUGAUCGGCCACACUGGAACUGAGACACGGUCCAGACUCCUACGGGAGGCAGCAGUAGGGAAUCCUCCGCAAUGGGCGAAAGCCUGACGGAGCAACGCCGCGUGAGUGAUGAAGGUCUUCGGAUCGUAAAACUCUGUUAUUAGGGAAGAACAAAUGUGUAAGUAACUAUGCACGUCUUGACGGUACCUAAUCAGAAAGCCACGGCUAACUACGUG
rnacentral:rRNA from 1 species